rnacentral:rRNA from 1 species
CCGCCUAAGGUGGGACAGAUGAUUGGGGUGAAGUCGUAACAAGGUAGCCGUAUCGGAAGGUGCGGCUGGAUCACCUCCUUUCUAAGGA